CCUUCUAGAAAGAGAGAGAGACCGACGACAUCCCCCUUCCUUUUCGAAAUCUCUUCCGCUGCCCCAUCCUUCAUUUGCUUCUCCACGCCGACACAACGCCACUAUCGUUGCACCUCUCUAACCGCCGGAACAACCACCCACGCCGCGCGCCUUGAACCACGGUGUUUUGAAGCGGUUAGUUCGAAUCGACACAAUCUAUUCGAGUGUCCUCGUUGUGUUUCUUUGUAACUGAGCUGUGCAGUACCUAUCCAUCGUUCGUUGUCAUUCGACAAGUUGAAUCAUUGCUAAUUUUGUUCUUUUCAACUCCGUAUCGUUGGAUCUAAGUUUUUGGAUUUGGAUUUUAAAGGAGUUCAAACCACUGUCCAGCAGUUCGUAAGCUCAAAUUUGGGCGUUCUGGUACAACUUGGGAGCAAUCAAAGACUGACAAGCAGAAUAGAGAAAAACAACAUUUCCAACAUAGUAGCGGGUUGGAGUCAUUCCUGUAGAGACAAAUGGAGCUCAGUGAACAAUGAGGUGAACCAGUGGGACGUGUGGACCUAUUCAAAGAAAUGCACUCCAAUAAGAGUGGUCAGUUUGUGAAUAAGGCAAUUGAGGAUGCACAUUAAGCAAUGUGGUUUAUUUUCUAAUUGUUUUGAGAGCAUAGCUUAACUAUUUGUGUGCUGAAUCAAAUGGUAGAAUUACUAUCGACACCAAGUCCAGAAGGUUAUUAACUAUAACUAGGAGACGAAAUAUUGGAGAUAGUUUUGGAUAGACGACCUAGUUAUUCAAAAAGUCUUGGUUGGGGCCCCAAAUCCAAGUCAAAAAGGCAUUGUUCAUCAAGUUUAGCAUUCUAAAAAAUGCAUGAUAGGGAGGUGAGGGAACUAAAAGCCAACUUUAAGAUAUUACAAUAAAAGAUUAAAGAACUUGAAGAAGCGCAAAGACGUAUGGCAGAUGCCAAAGAAAUAGAAGAAUAAAGAAGAAUGUUAGAGAUGCAUGCCAAACAAUAAAAAAAUUGAAAAAAAUGAUUGAAGAAAUGGCAUGAGCACAAAGAGGACCCUAAACUUUAGGCAAAGGAGUUGUUCGAAGAUGAUGUCCGAAGAUGGGUUUUGGAGAUGACGUCUUUUUCUGUAUUUAUUAAUUCAAAAGCACAUUGUAAACCAUUAUAUAAACCUUUUUAUAAUUUUUGUUACGAAAUACAUUAUAAUUUUAU